UGAGGGUUUCGGAUUAUUGGGGCGUAAAGCGAGCGCAGGCGGUUUUUUAAGUCUGAUGUGAAAGCCCUCGGCUUAACCGAGGAAGCGCAUCGGAAACUGGGAAACUUGAGUGCAGAAGAGGACAGUGGAACUCCAUGUGUAGCGGUGAAAUGCGUAGAUAUAUGGAAGAACACCAGUGGCGAAGGCGGCUGUCUGGUCUGUAACUGACGCUGAGGCUCGAAAGCAUGGGUAGCGAACAGGAUUAGAUACCCUGGUAGUCCAUGCCGUAAACGAUGAAUGCUAGGUGUUGGAGGGUUUCCGCCCUUCAGUGCCGCAGCUAACGCAUUAAGCAUUCCGCCUGGGGAGUACGACCGCAAGGUUGAAACUCAAAGGAAUUGACGGGGGCCCGCACAAGCGGUGGAGCAUGUGGUUUAAUUCGAAGCAACGCGAAGAACCUUACCAGGUCUUGACAUCUUUUGAUCACCUGAGAGAUCAGGUUUCCCCUUCGGGGGCAAAAUGACAGGUGGUGCAUGGUUGUCGUCAGCUCGUGUCGUGAGAUGUUGGGUUAAGUCCCGCAACGAGCGCAACCCUUAUGACUAGUUGCCAGCAUUUAGUUGGGCACUCUAGUAAGACUGCCGGUGACAAACCGGAGGAAGGUGGGGAUGACGUCAAAUCAUCAUGCCCCUUAUGACCUGGGCUACACACGUGCUACAAUGGAUGGUACAACGAGUUGCGAGACCGCGAGGUCAAGCUAAUCUCUUAAAGCCAUUCUCAGUUCGGACUGUAGGCUGCAACUCGCCUACACGAAGUCGGAAUCGCUAGUAAUCGCGGAUCAGCACGCCGCGGUGAAUACGUUCCCGGGCCUUGUACACACCGCCCGUCACACCAUGAGAGUUUGUACACCCGAAGCCGGUGGCGUACCCUUUUAGGGAGCGAGCCGUCUAAGGUGGGACAAUGAUUAGGUGAUCACACAGAGGGGGUACCGUAACC
rnacentral:rRNA from 1 species